UAGGGAAUCUUCGGCAAUGGACGAAAGUCUGACCGAGCAACGCCGCGUGAGUGAAGAAGGCUUUCGGAUCGUAAAACUCUGUUGUUAGAGAAGAACAAGGACGUUAGUAACUGAACGUCCCCUGACGGUAUCUAACCAGAAAGCCACGGCUAACUACGUGCCAGCAGCCGCGGUAAUACGUAGGUGGCAAGCGUUGUCCGGAUUUAUUGGGCGUAAAGCGAGCGCAGGCGGUUUCUUAAGUCUGAUGUGAAAGCCCCCGGCUCAACCGGGGAGGGUCAUUGGAAACUGGGAGACUUGAGUGCAGAAGAGGAGAGUGGAAUUCCAUGUGUAGCGGUGAAAUGCGUAGAUAUAUGGAGGAACACCAGUGGCGAAGGCGGCUCGCUGGUCUGUAACUGACGCUGAGGCUCGAAAGCGUGGGGAGCAAACAGG
rnacentral:rRNA from 1 species